rnacentral:rRNA from 1 species
UGGGGAAUAUUGCACAAUGGGCGCAAGCCUGAUGCAGCCAUGCCGCGUGUGUGAAGAAGGCCUUCGGGUUGUAAAGCACUUUCAGCGAGGAGGAAGGCAGUCGUGUUAAUAGCACGAUUGAUUGACGUUACUCGCAGAAGAAGCACCGGCUAACUCCGUGCCAGCAGCCGCGGUAAUACGGAGGGUGCAAGCGUUAAUCGGAAUUACUGGGCGUAAAGCGCACGCAGGCGGUUUGUUAAGUCAGAUGUGAAAUCCCCGCACUUAACGUGGGAACUGCAUUUGAAACUGGCAAGCUAGAGUCUUGUAGAGGGGGGUAGAAUUCCAGGUGUAGCGGUGAAAUGCGUAGAGAUCUGGAGGAAUACCGGUGGCGAAGGCGGCCCCCUGGACAAAGACUGACGCUCAGGUGCGAAAGCGUGGGGAGCAAACA